GGAAUCUUCGGCAAUGGACGGAAGUCUGACCGAGCAACGCCGCGUGAGUGAAGAAGGUUUUCGGAUCGUAAAGCUCUGUUGUAAGAGAAGAACGAGUGUGAGAGUGGAAAGUUCACACUGUGACGGUAUCUUACCAGAAAGGGACGGCUAACUACGUGCCAGCAGCCGCGGUAAUACGUAGGUCCCGAGCGUUGUCCGGAUUUAUUGGGCGUAAAGCGAGCGCAGGCGGUUAGAUAAGUCUGAAGUUAAAGGCUGUGGCUUAACCAUAGUACGCUUUGGAAACUGUUUAACUUGAGUGCAAGAGGGGAGAGUGGAAUUCCAUGUGUAGCGGUGAAAUGCGUAGAUAUAUGGAGGAACACCGGUGGCGAAAGCGGCUCUCUGGCUUGUAACUGACGCUGAGGCUCGAAAGCGUGGGGAGCAAACAG
rnacentral:rRNA from 1 species